rnacentral:rRNA from 1 species
AUGACGUCAAGUCCUCAUGGCCCUUAUAGUGGGGCUACACACGUCAUACAAUGGCUGGUACAAAGGGUUGCCAACCGCGAGGGGAGCCAAUCCCAUAAAGCCAGUCGUAGUCCGGAUCGUAGUCUGCAACUCGACUACGUGAAGUCGGAAUCGCUAGUAAUCGUGGAUCAGAAUGUCACGGUGAAUACGUUCCCGGGUCCUU